UACGUAGGGUGCAAGCGUUGUCCGGAAUUAUUGGGCGUAAGGAGCUCGUAGGCGGUUUGUCGCGUCUGCUGUGAAAACGCGAGGCUCAACCUCGCGCCUGCAGUGGGUACGGGCAGACUAGAGUGCGGUAGGGGAGAUUGGAAUUCCCGGUGUAGCGGUGAGAUGCGUAGAUAUCGGGAGGAACACCAGUGGCGAAGGCGAUCACCUGGGGUUGUUCUGACGCUGAGGAGCGAAAGCUAGGGGAGCAAACGGG
rnacentral:rRNA from 1 species